GGCCUGGUGGCUCAGUUGGUUAGAGCGCCGCCCUGUCACGGCGGAGGUCGUCGGUUCAAGUCCGAUCCGGGUCG
rnacentral:tRNA from 2 species